rnacentral:rRNA from 1 species
UACGAAGGGGGCUAGCGUUGCUCGGAAUCACUGGGCGUAAAGCGCACGUAGGCGGCUUUCUAAGUCAGGGGUGAAAUCCUGGAGCUCAACUCCAGAACUGCCUUUGAUACUGGGGAGCUCGAGUCCGGAAGAGGUGAGUGGAACUCCGAGUGUAGAGGUGAAAUUCGUAGAUAUUGGAAGAACACCAGUGGCGAAGGCGGCUCACUGGUCCGGUACUGGACGCUGAGG